UACGUAGGGUGCAAGCGUUGUCCGGAAUUAUUGGGCGUAAAGAGCUCGUAGGCGGUCUGUCGCGUCUGCUGUGAAAUCUCAGGGCUUAACCCUGAGCUUGCAGUGGGUACGGGCAGACUAGAGUGCGGUAGGGGAGACUGGAAUUCCUGGUGUAGCGGUGAAAUGCGCAGAUAUCAGGAGGAACACCGGUGGUGUAGACGGCUCUCUGGACCGCAACUGACGCUGAGACACGAAAGCGUGGGUAGCAAACAGG
rnacentral:rRNA from 1 species